AGUGUAUUAGAGAUAAUGAAUCAUCUCUAUGGUUUCUCCCACUCGAUAUAUCUACACCCCGAUAUCUAGAGUCUCUCGUAGUCUACAGAGCCUUCUGCAUUCUCCCCAGUUUGCUUUUCCCAUCAACGAAGAUAGUAAGGUCCGACAUACCAACACUGAAGCUGGGUAACAAUUUUGACCCAUGUGCCGUCCUGAAGUCAAAGUCAGCUCGAUGGAUAUCUGGAGAUUGUACGCGACUCAAAAGGUCCAGUUCAAAAUACCAACAACUAUCCUGCUUAAACCCAACAAAAUAUUUAAUGAAGCUGUCAUUGAAGACAAUCACUGAAAGGAACCACCCAACCCCCUUCCUCGACCCCACAUUAUCCAACAUCUAUCUAAUAACUCCUGGAAAACACUACCAACCAGAUGAGAUCAAAAUCUUUAAACAGAGAGUUGUUGUUUUGUAAUCAGUUCCAGCAAUAACCAACUAAAUCUGAUCUCAUCCCAUGUUUUCUGAUAUAAUUUGGGAUAGUCUUGAUUGUGCCCAUAGGACAUUUCCACUGCUUGCCAAACCCUUAAUUCUAUUGAUCAAUUCCAUGGGUUUAAGUAAUCAGUAUUCAAAUAUUGUUUGGCAGUGGAUGCUGGCUGGUGGGGCGGCCCCCCUGACAGUCUUUUCUGCAAAAAAAACCCCAAAACCAACAAAUCUAAUUUAUUGAAAUUGAGAGGACAACUGAUAAGGGUGUGUUAGACAAAAACAUGCACAAUUCUAUCUGCAGUUACCCUUCCCCAUCACGGAU